ensembl:lncRNA
AAGCAAAAGGGAGAUUUUUCUGUGUGGGCCAACCUAAUCAGAUGGGAGUCCUUUAAAAGAGGAGCUAGGCUCUCCCUGAAGUCAGAGAUUCAUGCUCAGCUUGUACUCAUGGGGUUCCAGCCUGCUCUGACAGUCCCUUCCCAUCUGCCUGCCUGUGGACUCAAUUUCAGCUCAUGCUCAUGCGGUCCAGCCUGUUUGUGACCUUCUCUUCUUGAUCGAUGGUCCUGUGGGCUUCAGGCUUCUUCGCCGGUGCCCAUAAGUGUGUGGCUACAUGUUGAAAAAAUGCAGGCUGGAUCCUUGAGUAGCCACGUGGAGAGAUGUCCUGGAGUUCUUCAAUGUUGUGUGGGGAUGUUACAGAGCCCUUGGCUCCCCUAGACUCUCGCAGAGGCUCAGUCAACUGGAUCAAGGCGUGUAAGAAAGAAGGAGAGGAAAAAUGCAGAGCAGAGGGGUGCAACCAUGAUGUCCUUCCACACAGAGAUCUCCUCAGUUAUGGUCUACAGGAUGCGUGACCAACUGGGUAAAGACCAAGACUGGAAACAUCCUUUCAUGAACCUACCAGAACAACAGUGUCCAGAGUGAGAGCUGGAAAGGCCUCCUCAAGUCAUCUAACUCUUUUGUUCUGCACAUGAGGAGACUUGAGCCAACUUGUUUGUCCCUGUUAGAUGACAAACAUGGGGAUAGCAGGGGCCCCCAUGGUUGGAGCACCUUUCCUAUCAAGACCCUUCUAACUUCUGAGCAUGGCUUCUACACCCUUGCAAACUGGCCUCUUGCAUGGGCUCAGAGAUAUGACCGUACAGCACAGGCUUCGAUGAAAUAAGGAGACACCUAGCUUUUCUGGUCCAGUGGAGAUUUUUGCCUUGGCUAAGAUCGUCUGGAUAUUUUUCUCCCUGAUUUUGGAAUUUCAUUCAAAAUUUAGAAUUUAUUUAUGCCUUGUUAGUCCUACACAUUGACUUUUGGGGCCAAAUAAUGAUUAUUUUCAUUCUGGGAAUUUCACUUGUUGAUUGUGAGAUGUGAGGCCGCAGGGACUGACAUGACUUAAA